rnacentral:tRNA from 1 species
GCCAGUGUGGCAUAGUGCUUUGAGCGUUGGACUAUGAUUCUGGAGACCAGGGUUCAAAUCCCUGCUCAUCCA